UGUGGGAGCGGGCUUGCUCGCGAUGGUAUCGACGCGGUUUUCCUGCAUUACCGCGCCGCCUGAAUCGCAAGCAAGCCCGCUCCCACA
rnacentral:misc_RNA from 1 species